CUGGUCCUGAAUCAAGGCCAGCAGCUUCCUGACGCUGUUGGGUUUCAAGCAGGAGCCUAAAGAGAUGUCUUUCUAUGGUCUCUUGGCCACUUCAGAACUUGGGCAGUGAAAUGGUCAAUUCAUUAGAAAGAAACAGCU
ensembl:snoRNA